rnacentral:rRNA from 2 species
GGGUUGUGAGGUUAAGCGACUAAGCGUACACGGUGGAUGCCCUGGCAGUCAGAGGCGAUGAAGGGCGUGCUAAUCUGCGAUAAGCGCCGGUAAGGUGAUAUGAACCGUUAUAACCGGCGAUACCCGAAUGGGGAAACCCAGUGUGAUUCGUCACACUAUCAUUAACUGAAUCCAUAGGUUAAUGAGGCGAACCGGGGGAACUGAAACAUCUAAGUACCCCGAGGAAAAGAAAUCAACCGAGAUUCCCCCAGUAGCGGCGAGCGAACGGGGAGGAGCCCAGAGCCUGAAUCAGCAUGUGUGUUAGUGGAAGCGUCUGGAAAGGCGCGCGAUACAGGGUGACAGCCCCGUACACAAAAGCGCAUGUGCUGUGAGCUCGAUGAGUAGGGCGGGACACGUGGUAUCCUGUCUGAAUAUGGGGGGACCAUCCUCCAAGGCUAAAUACUCCUGACUGACCGAUAGUGAACCAGUACCGUGAGGGAAAGGCGAAAAGAACCCCGGCGAGGGGAGUGAAAAAGAACCUGAAACCGUGUACGUACAAGCAGUGGGAGCACCCUUUGGGUGUGACUGCGUACCUUUUGUAUAAUGGGUCAGCGACUUAUAUUCUG